AGAAUCAACGCUGGCGGCGUGCCUAACACAUGCAAGUCGCACGAGAAAGGGUAGCAAUCCCUGAGUACAGUGGCGCACGGGUGAGUAACACGUGAAUAAUCUACCUCCGAGUGGGGAAUAACUGAGAGAAAUCUUAGCUAAUACCGCAUAAUACCCACGGGUCAAAGCAGCAAUGCGCUUGGAGAGGAGUUCGCGGCCGAUUAGUUAGUUGGCGGGGUAAUGGCCCACCAAGACGAUGAUCGGUA
rnacentral:rRNA from 1 species